CGCAGCUCGCCGCAUACGUAAAUUGCUUUCAUUUUAAUAAAAAAUAGUGAUUGGUUGCUUACGAAGAGUAUUUAUAUUGUGUAUACAUGUAGCCAUUACACUCUCUCUGGUGUUGGUCACCGGGAAGAAAUCCCUGUAGGUGGUGUUUUCUCAAAGUCAUCAAUUAUUAUUUUUCUAUACAAUUAUGAGAGAAUCUUGAUCUAGAGUUCGUGGAGGUGAUGCUGCCCACAUCUAUUCUGAGGAGAUGCUGUGCCAGAUAUAGUGUUAUUCAUCUGACCAGGAGCAGGUUGGCAAGAACUCGGAUAUGUGUUCGUUCCAGAAGUUUUGCAGCUGGAAACCCAGCCACAGCCGAAGAAUUUUUCAGGAGACAGAACGUGGACUACAUCAAAAAUGUACAGGAGUUCAUCACAGAGCACAGUUUCUUCGCAAACACCGGUCGACGUACGCCACAGGAGCUAGUGGUUGAAGCUGUUAGAAUUGCUUACACAUCAGCAGACCUGACUGAGAGAUUAGGUAACUUAGCAGAGACAUGUAUCGGCUUCUUACACAUUGGUACUUUCUCCACCACACAACUACUCUACCUAUUUGAGCAUGCCAAGUUACCAUCCAUGAUCAAUGCUGACAUCUUGGAAGAGCUGCAUAGGCGCAACCUACUUGCUGAUGAGUUGGUGUGCGCGUUCGGUGGCAGUGUAGCUGGCAAACACAUUGUCCGUGCACUGGACUUCUGGAGAUUAAUUUGUUCCAAACGCCACGAACUCAGUGCUGUUGACAAGAUGACGCUGAGAAAGUGGUUUCUGCACCCAAACAGCAACUUGAUCCGUCAACAGUGUAUUCAGAUUGGCCGAGAAGAGGAGACGCAUGGCAACGUUGCAGCUCGGAGGCAAGAUGCUGGAAAGAGGUGGCGUGUCAACUUUAACAUGGAAGACUUGGAUAUAUUCAGCAAAGGCACAGGUGUAUAAGCCACUCUGGCACCGUGUGGGUAUAUGUGCGUUGUCCUUCUUCUGAUGGCACCAUGAGACUUCUAGUGGAGUGUGUACAAUGCUUUGAUACCAUUCUAUCAUUUGGUUCCCAUUUUGGAGUCCUUCAAGUGGGCAUUUCAUUUCAUAUACUUCAAAAGAAGUAUAAUUUAUUUUUUAUUACAGUCGUCCCUCUCUAAUCCGGCGCCUUUUGCAACGGCAUUUUCUGCUGGAUAAACAAGGGUGCUGGAUUAUCAAAUCCUGCCCUCCAACCCGGCCCACCUAUUAACAUACAUGUUAGUGUCGUACGUCAAAACGUAGGGAUAUUCUGUGUCAAUCCAAGUGCUUUGUGGAAUGCAUGCCUUUAACAUACACUUGCCGGGAAUAUCCUAUGCACUGGCAUAGGAUAUUCCCAAGUGUAUGUUACAAUGCUCCUUGACAGUAUGCGAUGUACAACUGCUGGAUUAGAAAAUCGAAUUAUGUACAGUUUGAGUGAUUUGUUGCAGAAAAUCGCUGCUGGAGGCGGAAUUCAAAGGGACGACUGUAUCUGCUUUUAUACUCUUUUCUAAUCACUGAUGGCAGUAAUGCUAUUUUUGGGUGCGAUAUUGACAACGUUCGGCUUUAUAAGGCAGCAUGGAGUGUAGACGUGCACAACUACAAGACUGCACCUCCGAGAAAUAUGCUAUGCGUUGGCAAGUAUGAUCUGCAUGGUCAACAUA